UUGUCUGUUUCUUUUUAGUGAUGUUGCAGUAGAGCUUCCAUUUACACUGAUGCAUCCCAAACCUGUUGAAGAAUCGCUGUUCAGAGAAGCUCCUGAGAAUGACACACCUAUUGACACAAAUUUAAUAGAGUUUGACACCAAUGAUGAUGACAUUGUUUUUGAAGACUUUGCAAGGCAGAGGCUACAGGGAAUAAAGGAUGACAAAGAGGAGGAAGAAGAAGGA